CUAUGCGCCUUGCCAGCCCCGCUCAGAAACUCAAAGGAAUUGACGGGACCCCGCACAAGCGGUGGAUCAUGUUGUUUAAUUCGAUGAUACGCGAAGAACCUUACCAGGUCUUGACACCCCCCGCGAUGCUUUAGAGAUAAAGCGGAGGUAUUCGGGGAGACAGGUGGUGCAUGGUUGUCGUCAGCUCGUGUCGUGAGAUGUUGGGUUAAGUCCCGCAACGAGCGCAACCCCUAUUGCUAGUUACCAUCAUUAAGUUGGGGACUCUAGCGAGACUGCCAGUGAUAAACUGGAGGAAGGUGGGGAUGACGUCAAAUCAUCAUGGCCCUUACGGCCUGGGCUACACACGUGCUACAAUGGUCGGUACAAAGGGUUGCCAAGCCGCGAGGUGGAGCUAAUCCCAUAAAACCGAUCGUAGUCCGGAUCGCAGUCUGCAACUCGACUGCGUGAAGUCGGAAUCGCUAGUAAUCGUGAAUCAGAAUGUCACGGUGAAUACGUUCCCGGGCCUU
rnacentral:rRNA from 1 species